rnacentral:rRNA from 1 species
GACGUAGGGGGCGAGCGUUGUCCGGAUUUAUUGGGCGUAAAGAGCUCGUAGGUGGUUCGGUAAGUCAGGUGUGAAACCUCCAGGCUCAACCUGGAGACGCCACUUGAUACUGCUGUGACUGGAGUCCGGUAGGGGAGCGUGGAAUUCCUGGUGUAGCGAUGAAAUGCGCAGAUAUCAGGAGGAACACCAGCGGCGAAGGCGGCGCUCUGGGCCGGUACUGACACUGAGGAGCGAAAGCGUGGGUAGCAAACAGG